rnacentral:rRNA from 1 species
AACGAACGCUGGCGGCGUGCUUAACACAUGCAAGUCGAACGCGAAAGGGACUUCGGUCCUGAGUAAAGUGGCGCACGGGUGAGUAACGCGUAGAUAACCUGUCUUCGUGUCUGGAAUAAUACACCGAAAGGGGUACUAAUACCGGAUAAUCUUGCUUUUCAUAAGUUUUGCAAGCAAAGGUGGCCUCUGACUUAAGCUACUGCAUGAAGAGGGGUCUGCGUACCAUUAGCUAGUAGGUGGGGUAAAGGCCUACCUAGGCAACGAUGGUUAGCGGGUCUGAGAGGAUGAUCCGCCACACUGGCACUGGAACACGGGCCAGACUCCUACGGGAGGCAGCAGUGAGGAAUAUUGCGCAAUGGGGGCAACCCUGACGCAGCGACGCCGCGUGAGUGAGGAAGGCCUUCGGGUCGUAAAGCUCUGUCAAAGGGAAAGAAAUGUAUAAUGGCUAAUACCUGUUAUAUUUGACGGUACCCUUAAAGGAAGCACCGGCUAACUCCGUGCCAGCAGCCGCGGUAAUACGGAGGGUGCAAGCGUUGUUCGGAAUUACUGGGCGUAAAGGGCGCGUAGGCGGUUUGAUAAGUCAGAUGUGAAAGCCCACGGCUUAACUGUGGAAGUGCAUUUGAAACUGUCAGACUUGAGUACCAGAGGGGAAAGUGGAAUUCCCGGUGUAGAGGUGAAAUUCGUAGAUAUCGGGAGGAAUACCGGUGGCGAAGGCGACUUUCUGGCUGGAUACUGACGCUGAGGCGCGAAAGCGUGGGGAGCAAACA